ensembl:lncRNA
CUGGGCAGGACCCGCCAGUGCUCGAGGUCCGAGGGGUUGCCGUUAUACCGCCAGCCACCCGGGGCAGAACGAUUUUGCGGCGUCCGGGCGUCGUCGUCCUGCCGUCACUUUGGCCUCUGAUCACCCAGGCAGAACAUUUCUGAAAUUAAAGAAGCUCAUGAAGAAUUUAUCUGAAACAUAACUCUCUCACAGCACAAGUUAAGGCUCCCUGGGGACUUCUCCAGUCAAGAAUGACCCCAGCAAUGGUGGGGGCUGUGUCCUUGGCCCCCACCCAGAUCCAGUCCCAUAGACUGGCAUGCAGGGAACCUCCCAGAGGGGAAGUUGAGCAGCUGGCCUGCCCCAGAGAAGAGUUUGGAGCAGGAGAGAGAAGAGAGGAGCCAGGAAGGUGACCAGAGUGACCAGAACUGCCAGCCAGAUGUAAAACUCUUUGAGGAAGAACCACCCCAUGUCCCUUGGACUCACAGCACCUCUGAGCAUCGAGGGACUCGGGAUGACAUGGGGAUCGGUGACUGUAUACAGCUGUGGAUGCAGACAGAUGGAUUUGUGACUCAGGGUCAUCACGCAUGGAGGCACGCUUACCCCUGCCUGAAGACAUGACCUGCCUUCUCGGGGAUGGUUGUCGGCCAUUCUCUUCCGGGUCACACAGGAAGAAGGUGAUCUCAUC